GACCUGGACGACAACUGUGCUGACGCCCAGGACGGGGAACUGGACGGGCUCUGGACGACCAUCACCAUCUUCAUCACCCUCUUCCUGCUCAGUGUGUGCUACAGCGCCACGGUCACGCUCUUCAAGGUGAAGUGGAUCUUCUCCUCAGUGGUAGAGCUGAAGCAGACAAUCUCCCCUGACUACAGGAACAUGAUUGGGCAGGGGGCCUAGGCCACUUCCUCUGGGAUGACCAGGGCUUCAUAGUCCUACAGAACCUGGUCCAUCUGCACUGUCCUGUGACAUUGCCAUCCUCUGAGCCUACACCUCUCUGAAUCAUCACUCUGGAUUGUUGACUCUUUGGAGGGCCGUGCGGGCAGCAGGCUUUGUCCCAGACCUGGGCAACACCUUCACAGCAGUUACCAGAUAAGUAACUUGUUGGGGCCAAAAGGACCAUCUCCCUCCAAACCAGGACCAGAGGAUCUGAGGCCUCAGAAAGUCUGCCCAGGAGAAUCUGGGAGCCCACAUUGCCUUGGUCCAGCUGCAUGGGGAUCGGCCUUUCCUCACCCACAUCAUUCUUUGAAAGGGAUUUUCCCAGAAGGGGCAAAGUUUUUAAAUCCUUGAAAGGAGACAUCUGCUAGGAAGACCAGGGUCACCACCGCCCAAAGGAAGCUCCAGAAGAGACCUUGAAAGGUCACUCUGGUAGCCUUUGGGUCAGCUGUGCUUGAGCAGCUUCCUUCCUGGAACUUCUGUGAACUCCAGGCCGAGGAAAGGGUCUGUGUCUCUCAAAUUGUUGGGUGAGCCUUCUGAAGAUGGGAGUCCUUGCACAGGACCCUCCUCCUGCUACCCACUCAACGUGCUGGACUCUCAGACUCAGGACCUCAAGACAAGACCACUGCCACCUCCACAGAGAUCCCAGCCACACUCUGGAGAGACACUUGGAAGGACUGCAUUGUCUGGCCUCUGCAAAGCCCUAGCAGUGACAAGUGCAGAGGCCACUGAGUUCUGGCUGGUCACCUCCAGGAGAAGGUCCUGUGAGAAGAUUCCUGUCAGCCCUCCCCCACCAAAAAAAAAAAAAAAAAAAAAACCAGAAGAUCAAGGAGCAACAGGGAAGAGAUGUGAAGGAAUAAUUAGAAGAAAGCUACUAUGUAGUGCAUCUGCCCUGUGGUCCCGGUGUCCAGACUGGGCACCUGUUGGAGAGAACAUCUGUUGGAACAGGCACCCAGAAAGACAGGAAUUGGGGUACCAGGGCUGCUGUGGCCAAGGGACAGUAGUCCCAUGUCUAUUUCUCCAUCACCUCUCAGGGCCAGUGAGAAGGCAGAGUCUGCAGAAAAGAAGAAAAAGUAGGCCCCUGACCUCCUGUGACUGCCAGGGAAGGCUUGGAGAACUCAGACCUUUAGCAGCCUCUUUCUUGUGGAGAUUAUAAAUGUCUUUAAAGCCUCUCUGUGUGUGCCUGUAUGUGUGUGUUGCUGUUGUUUAUGUAUUUUCAAUAAUAAAACAUUCUUCUAAUAUUCUGUA